rnacentral:rRNA from 1 species
AUCCUGGCUCAGGAUGAACGCUGGCGGCGUGCUUAACACAUGCAAGUCGAACGGGAAACCUUUUAUUGAAGCUUCGGCGGAUUUAGAUUGUUUCUAGUGGCGGACGGGUGAGUAACGCGUGGGUAACCUGCCUUAUACAGGGGGAUAACAGUCAGAAAUGGCUGCUAAUACCGCAUAAGCGCACAGGACCGCAUGGUCCAGUGUGAAAAACUCCGGUGGUAUUAGAUGGACCCGCGUUGGAUUAGCUUGUUGGCAGGGUAACGGCCUACCAAGGCGACGAUCCAUAGCCGGCCUGAGAGGGUGAACGGCCACAUUGGGACUGAGACACGGCCCAGACUCCUACGGGAGGCAGCAGUGGGGAAUAUUGCACAAUGGGGGAAACCCUGAUGCAGCGACGCCGCGUGAAGGAAGAAGUAUCUCGGUAUGUAAACUUCUAUCAGCAGGGAAGAGAUUGACGGUACCUGACUAGGAAGCCCCGGCUAACUACGUGCCAGCAGCCGCGGUAAUACGUAGGGGGCAAGCGUUAUCCGGAUUUACUGGGUGUAAAGGGAGCGUAGACGGAUGGACAAGUCUGAUGUGAAAGGCUGGGGCUCAACCCCGGGACUGCAUUGGAAACUGCCCGUCUUGAGUGCCGGAGAGGUAAGCGGAAUUCCUAGUGUAGCGGUGAAAUGCGUAGAUAUUAGGAGGAACACCAGUGGCGAAGGCGGCUUACUGGACGGUAACUGACGUUGAGGCUCGAAAGCGUGGGGAGCAAACAGGAUUAGAUACCCUGGUAGUCCACGCGGUAAACGAUGAAUGCUAGGUGUCGGGGAGCAAAGCUCUUCGGUGCCGCCGCAAACGCAUUAAGCAUUCCACCUGGGGAGUACGUUCGCAAGAAUGAAACUCAAAUGAAUUGACGGA